UUUGCUGAACAAAAAUGGAGAACAAAAAACGCAAAGCAGCAGGAGGAGCCGAAACAUUCGCGCCAAAAAGAAACUAGCCCUUCAUGCAGAUGCUGCCAAAUGUGCUAAAAUAUCACAGUUGUUUGGUGGCUAUAGUGGAGCUUCCACUUCAGUAAAAUUAGCAAGUAAUGGAGGCCAGCAGCCGCAGGUUGAAGAGUGAAAGGGGCGGGAGGAGGAGGAGAGAGUGGAAGAACUGAACUUGAGAGACCACGACCAGGACCUUCAGCAUGGGUAAGAAAAUAACUUGACUUCACACUAAUGAUUAAGACUGAUAUUUUAUAAACUCAUUACAUGUAUUAGAUUUUAAUUCAGGAAUCAAAUAGAAAGGAAAAAAGGAGAUAAUGUCACAACAAACAUGUAACAUAUAACACACAUCACUGCCAGACUCUGUUCUUACUCUCUCUUCAUUUACAGUUGUGUAAAAAAAGGUUGGCCCCCUUACUGAUUUCUUAUAUUUUUGCAUGUUUGUCACAUUCCGAGAACUUCCUGUUGUGCCGCAGGAUGGCAGCACUGACGAGAGCCCUGAUACAACUCAGUAAACUUUUGCUUAUGUCUUUUAUUUUUAUUCUGUUUCAUUUGACCUGCACUUUCUCACUUUCAAUAUAGUCACUCCUACAACUGAGACCGGCAGCGAAUUCGGAUUUUAAAUAAUUGUCUUUUUAAACAGCGAGCGGUGUAAUUCCCCAGCACGCUUUUGGGGAAUCAGACCACUGCUCAAUUCUGUUGUUACCAGGAUACAGACAAAAGCUAAAACAAGGUAAACCAGUUCUCAGAGACAUUCACAAAUGGACCAGGGAGACUGACUAGGCGUUAAUUGAAGAUCAAACGAUUGGCAGAUUUUCGAGGAUGCAGUCGAUAUGAAUACACGUUUAUAAAUCCACGGUCUGCUUCUACCCCAACCAAAAGCUGUAGGUGAAUCAAACGAUCCGCACACUUUUUCACACAGCGCUAUGUAGUUUUGGAUUUAUUUUUUCCUUAAUAAUAAAAAAUUUAAUUUAUUUAAAAACUACAUGACGUGUUUACUUGUGUUAUCUUUGACUGAUAUUUAGAUUUGUCUGAUGAUCUGAAACUUUAAAGUGUGAAAACAUGCUUAGUAAGAAAUCAGUAAGGGGGCAAACACUUUUUUACACAACUGUAUAUUAUUGUCUUAUGGAUUUGUGAUUAUACUCCAGCAUUCAGUAUUAUUACUAAAACACACAGUGACAUGCAGGGGCGGACUGGGACCAAAAAGUGGCCCUGGACUUUCUGGCCCACAGCAGCCCACAUCAUAAUACAUUGGCUCGAUAAUGUAGAGAUACAUUUUUAAAACCAGUUACAAGUAUAAAAAUGUAACACAAUACAGAAAUCAAUGCUUA